CAGGCUUAACACAUGCAAGUCGAGGGGCAGCAUGUUCUUAGCUUGCUAAGGCCGAUGGCGACCGGCGCACGGGUGAGUAACACGUAUCCAACCUGCCGUCUACUCUUGGACAGCCUUCUGAAAGGAAGAUUAAUACAAGAUGGCAUCAUGAGUCCGCAUGUUCACAUGAUUAAAGGUAUUCCGGUAGACGAUGGGGAUGCGUUCCAUUAGAUAGUAGGCGGGGUAACGGCCCACCUAGUCUUCGAUGGUUAGGGGUUCUGAGAGGAAGGUCCCCCACAUUGGAACUGAGACACGGUCCAAACUCCUACGGGAGGCAGCAGUGAGGAAUAUUGGUCAAUGGGCGAGAGCCUGAACCAGCCAAGUAGCGUGAAGGAUGACUGCCCUAUGGGUUGUAAACUUCUUUUAUAAAGGAAUAAAGUCGGGUAUGGAUACCCGUUUGCAUGUACUUUAUGAAUAAGGAUCGGCUAACUCCGUGCCAGCAGCCGCGGUAAUACGGAGGAUCCGAGCGUUAUCCGGAUUUAUUGGGUUUAAAGGGAGCGUAGAUGGAUGUUUAAGUCAGUUGUGAAAGUUUGCGGCUCAACCGUAAAAUUGCAGUUGAUACUGGAUAUCUUGAGUGCAGUUGAGGCAGGCGGAAUUCGUGGUGUAGCGGUGAAAUGCUUAGAUAUCACGAAGAACUCCGAUUGCGAAGGCAGCCUGCUAAGCUGCAACUGACAUUGAGGCUCGAAAGUGUGGGUAUCAAACAGGAUUAGAUACCCUGGUAGUCCACACGGUAAACGAUGAAUACUCGCUGUUUGCGAUAUACUGCAAGCGGCCAAGCGAAAGCGUUAAGUAUUCCACCUGGGGAGUACGCCGGCAACGGUGAAACUCAAAGGAAUUGACGGGGGCCCGCACAAGCGGAGGAACAUGUGGUUUAAUUCGAUGAUACGCGAGGAACCUUACCCGGGCUUAAAUUGCAGAUGAAUUACGGUGAAAGCCGUAAGCCGCAAGGCAUCUGUGAAGGUGCUGCAUGGUUGUCGUCAGCUCGUGCCGUGAGGUGUCGGCUUAAGUGCCAUAACGAGCGCAACCCUUGUUGUCAGUUACUAACAGGUUCCGCUGAGGACUCUGGCAAGACUGCCAUCGUAAGAUGUGAGGAAGGUGGGGAUGACGUCAAAUCAGCACGGCCCUUACGUCCGGGGCUACACACGUGUUACAAUGGGGGGUACAGAGGGCCGCUACCACGCGAGUGGAUGCCAAUCCCAAAAACCUCUCUCAGUUCGGACUGGAGUCUGCAACCCGACUCCACGAAGCUGGAUUCGCUAGUAAUCGCGCAUCAGCCACGGCGCGGUGAAUACGUUCCCGGGCCUUGUACACACCGCCCGUCAAGCCAUGGGAGCCGGGGGUACCUGAAGUGCGUAACCGCGAGGAGCGCCCUAGGGUAAAACUGGUGACUGGGGCUAA
rnacentral:rRNA from 1 species